rnacentral:tRNA from 1 species
UCCCAUGUGGCUCAGUGGUAAAGAAUCUGCCUACAAUGCAGGAGACCCAGGUUUGAUCCCUGGGUUGGAAA